UUUUCUUUUUUUUUCUUUCUUGUCUUUUUUUCUGUCUCUUUUGGUGUUUUCUUUUUCUUUUUCCUCUCUCUUCUUGGGAAGGGACCUGUGGGGUCCCCGCGUCCUGGGUGCUGUCCCUUCCCACAGGCGCCUCUUUGAUGCCAAAGUCUCCUGUCUGCGCGGUAGGUCUGGCGAUUUCAGGCCAAGGGGUGCAUCUGUAGAGGAGAGGCUUGAGAAAAACGAAGAACAGGAAACGAGCCUGUAUUUCUGAAGGCCUGCUUUAAGGUUGGUCCCUUUUCCAAGGAAGGAAAAGAGGAAGACUGGUUCAAAUCUGGAGGACAGCCUCCAGGCUGCUGUAGACACUGCUGAAAUCAAGGAAAGGAGGGAAAACUUGUGACACAUCAGCACAGGAGCUCCAGACGCAGGAAGUCAUCCCGCGGGAGGCCUUCGUGGAGGGAAACGGCCGUCGCUGUUGGAGGAGGUAGGUUCGAGGCCGAGAAGUGGCAUCCGUGAGGGGCGCUGGCUGAGACUAGAUCCGGGUGCAGGAAGUGCCUCGGACCCUCUGUCUCUCUCCCCUGCCUUCCGAACACCCCUGCCCUCACCCCAGGCUCCCCGCCCAGCGCAGUGUGAAUCUGUGUUUCUCUGUGUGGGUGGGUGGGGGAGGUGGACACGUGGAGGGAGUUGGCUUCAGGGGAGACCAGAGACAGGGAACGGUGAAGUGGCAAUUCGUGAACACCCAAUUUGUGUACACUCGUGGCGCUGGCUCUGGAAAGGCAGGUGUGAGGAUGGGAACUGUGAGCUACACUCCCUUCCUCCCACCUACUUGGCGCUCACUGUCCUGUCUGUCUGUCUUACAGACAGUGAGGACGGCUCAGUUUAAUAUUGUAGAAAAGUUAAUGGCAGGAGGUAGCCGUGGGUGGGGGGAAUGAGAGGG
rnacentral:lncRNA from 1 species